AGCGAACGCUGGCGGCAGGCCUAACACAUGCAAGUCGAACGAACUCUUCGGAGUUAGUGGCGGACGGGUGAGUAACACGUGGGAACGUGCCUUUUGGUUCGGAAUAACUCAGGGAAACUUGUGCUAAUACCGAAUGUGCCCUUCGGGGGAAAGAUUAUCGCCAUUAGAGCGGCCCGCGUCUGAUUAGCUAGUUGGUGAGGUAACGGCCCACCAAGGCGACGAUCAGUAGCUGGUCUGAGAGGAUGACCAGCCACACUGGGACUGAGACACGGCCCAGACUCCUACGGGAGGCAGCAGUGGGGAAUCUUGCGCAAUGGGCGAAAGCCUGACGCAGCCAUGCCGCGUGAAUGAUGAAGGUCUUAGGAUUGUAAAAUUCUUUCACCGGGGACGAUAAUGACGGUACCCGGAGAAGAAGCCCCGGCUAACUUCGUG
rnacentral:rRNA from 1 species